ensembl:lncRNA
CUUAUGUGUGAGCAUCACUAGGUGCCAAAUGCAAUCAAUAUGAAUUCUGCUUUUGAUCACACUGGUAUCAGCCUCACCCAGAGGAGAACUUAGCUUUUAGACCUUGUGUCACAUUUUAAGAAAAAUAAUAUUGACUCAUGUUAUUUCAAAAUCAUUGUUUGUAGCCAGCAGAUUUUAAAUCAAAACAGUCAGGCACGUUUUCAUUUUGCGCUCAUUGUUAAAUAAGCCGUGGAAAAGGUUUCUCUUUGCAGAACUGCCUUCCCCCCUCCAAGAUUAUCACAUUUCAUGUGUUCUAGUUCAUCCCAAGAUUGUGCUAUUGUUCUCUUCAAAGUUUCCUGGGCCAUUAAUCUCUCUCUUUUGUUUCCAUCUGGCCUCAGGAUAGGUCAGCUGGAAAUUGCAUUGCUGGAGAAUAUUCUGGUCUUGAGAACACAAAGAAAAAGGAGCAAGGAGAGCCUCCAAAUACUGUUGAUUCCUCAUUCAGAGUGUACAACCAAGCAAGCUCAUAAAGGCUGUGUUACUAAAUCCUUUAUCUCCCCAAAGCCAGCAGAAUAUACUGGGCACCAGGCACCAUGUUCAACAACAGCUCCUAUUCUCUUGUUUAAAAAGUCUACAGAGAAAGGAUGCGGGAUCUCUUUUGGAGCUCAUGAGUGGAAGGAAGAUCUGUGUGGAGGACAUUCUCAAAAUCUUGGUUGCACAUACGGUUCUGGGUUCCAGGCAUCCCCUGCAUACAGGCCUUCUGAGAAAAGGGUUCAUGGGACACGUUUCUUCUGUUUAUGCACCAGCAAGUGCAUGUCUGAAGGCAGUAUUCACUGGGACUGCACUGGUACCUGGUCUCAGCACUGUUCUCUGGCAGAUGGAAAAGAGAUUUGCUGAAGUAUGUGGGAAAAACAUGCCUUCUUGAGUCUGGAAGCCUAAUGAAGAUAACUUGGGGCUAAGAGCUAAUGGACAUUUCAUGUUCACUAUGUAUCAGAGGCCUGUGAUUUGAGAGUCUGAAGUCUAAUGUACAGACUGUGGUGCUGGGUUCGUGUAAUUAAAUCUGGUUAAAAAAAAC